GACGAACGCUGGCGGCGUGCUUAACACAUGCAAGUCGAGCGGUAAGGCCCUUUCGGGGGUACACGAGCGGCGAACGGGUGAGUAACACGUGGGUGACCUGCCCUUAGCUCUGGGAUAAGCCUGGGAAACUGGGUCUAAUACCGGAUAUGACUCCAUAACGCAUGUUGUGGGGUGGAAAGCCUUGUGCGGCUAGGGAUGGGCCCGCGGCCUAUCAGCUUGUUGGUGGGGUGAUGGGCCACCAAGGCGACGACGGGUAGCCGGCCUGAGAGGGCGACCGGCCACACUGGGACUGAGACACGGCCCAGACUCCUACGGGAGGCAGCAGUGGGGAAUCUUGCGCAAUGGGCGAAAGCCUGACGCAGCGACGCCGCGUGGGGAUGACGGCCCUCGGGUUGUAAACCUCUUUCAGCCCUGACGAAGCGAAAGUGACGGUAGGGCAGAAGAAGCACCGGCCAACUACGUGCCAGCAGCCGCCGUAAG
rnacentral:rRNA from 1 species